GCCUACGAUCAUACCACCCUGAAUACGCCCGAUCUCGUCCGAUCUCGGAAGCUAAGCAGGUUCGGGCCCGGUUAGUACCUGGAUGGGAGACC
rnacentral:rRNA from 1 species